CUGUAAGCCUGCGAAGGUGGCCUGUGAGGGUUGCUGGAGGUAUCAGAAGUGCGAAUGCUGACAUAAGUAACGAUAAAGCGGGUGAAAAGCCCGCUCGCCGGAAGACCAAGGGUUCCUGUCCAACGUUAAUCGGGGCAGGGUGAGUCGACCCCUAAGGCGAGGCCGAAAGGCGUAGUCGAUGGGAAACGGGUUAAUAUUCCCGUACUUGGUGUUACUGCGAAGGGGGGACGGAGAAGGCUAUGUUGGCCGGGCGACGGUUGUCCCGGUUUAAGCGUGUAGGUGUGUGUUCCAGGUAAAUCCGGUUCACUUUAACACUGAGGCGUGAUGACGAGGCACUACGGUGCUGAAGCAACAAAUGCCCUGCUUCCAGGAAAAGCCUCUAAGCAUCAGGUAACAUCAAAUCGUACCCCAAACCGACACAGGUGGUCAGGUAGAGA
rnacentral:rRNA from 1 species